AGAGCUAACGCAGGGAACUGAAACAUCUUAGUACCUGCAGGAAGAGAAAAUAAAUGAAUGAUUCCCCCAGUAGUGGCGAGCGAACGGGGAACAGCCCAAACCAGUGGCGUCGCAAGGCGUGGCUGGGGUUGUAGGACCGCGACAUUGUAUGCAAAUCGUGAACAGAACACUUUGGAAAAUGUGACCAUAGACGGUGAUAGUCCAGUAUGUGAAGCGAAAUGCGGCAUAGCGGUAUCCUGAGUAACGCGGGACACGAGGAAUCCUGCGCGAAUCUGCCGGGACCAUCCGGUAAGGCUAAAUACUCCCGUGAGACCGAUAGCGAACGAGUACUGUGAAGGAAAGGUGAAAAGAACCCCGAGCAGGGGAGUGAAAUAGUUCCUGAAACCAUACGCCUACAAGCGGUCGGAGCACAGCAAUGUGUGACGGCGUGCCUUUUGCAUAAUGAUCCUACGAGUUACCGUCACUGGCGAGGUUGAGUGUCAUGAGACACGUAGCCGCAGUGAAAGCGAGCCUGAAGAGGGCGCACAGUCAGUGGGGGUAGACGCGAAACCAAGUGAUCUACACUUGGCCAGGAUGAAGUCCCGGUAACACGGGAUGGAGGUCCGCACCAAUAAGCGUUGAAAAGCUUCUGGAUGAGCCGAGUGUAGGAGUGAAAGGCCAAUCAAACUUGGAGAUAGCUCGUACUCCCCGAAAGGCAUUUAGGUGCCGCGUCGGAUGGUCACCGUGAGAGGUAGAGCGACCGAUAGGACAAGAGGGCUUCACCGCCUAUCGAGUCCUGACGAACUCCGAAUGCUCACGGUCUGCAGUCCGGCAGUAAGGGGGCGGGUGCUAAGGUCCGUCCCCGAGAGGAGAAGAAUCCAGACCGCCGUCUAAGGUCCCGGAGUUCUGCCUGAGUUAGUCUAACGAAGUCUGGUCCCUAUGACAGCUAGGAUGUUGGCUUGGAAGCAGCCAUUCAUUCAAAGAGUGCGUAACAGCUCACUAGUCGAGGGUCCGGGCAUGGAUAAUAAUCGGGUAUAAGGCAGACACCGAAGGCGCGGGAUAGCAAUUUUAAAAGUAUCGGUAGGGGAGCAUACUCACAGCGUCGAAUGGUGUACGUAAGUUAUCCUGGAGCGGUGAGUAAAGCAAAUGUAGGAAUAAGUAACGAUAAGGGGGGUUAGAUUCCCUCCCGCUGUAAGACCAAGGUUUCCCGGGCAAUGCCAAUCAGCCCGGGGUCAGUCGGGUCCUAAGUCUAAGCCGAACGGCGAUGGCGAUGGCAGAGACGGUUAAUAUUCCGUCACUGCCGCAUGGGGCGACGUGGAGACGGAGCAGUGAAACCACCGCGGGGCGACGGAAGUCCCCGUUGAAGAGUGUAGG
rnacentral:rRNA from 1 species